CAAUAAAGUCCAUGCAAUGUCAGUACUGCUUCAGCUGAAGGAAGCGACUGAAUGGAAAACUCUGUGACUGAAGACAUCCAAGGAAAAGAUGAUCUUCCUCAUCCUGCUGCUCCUCUUCCUCACCCCCUGUGUCUCUGAAACGCUGCACGGCUGAAGGAGGCAGCGAUCAGUCUGAUGAGGAGCGUGCACGAGGCGGGCGUGCACGUACUGUAUGGACUACGUGGGGGUGGACCCCAAAAGGAUGAAGGCCCUGAGGAGCACCAGAGAAGCAUGGUGCGCGCACACACACACACACACACACACACA